UUUUGAAGAAAAGCUCAAGAAAUAUUUCCCUUCGACUCACCCUGUAGUCCUGGGGGUCUGCCGAGCUGCUUGGCGCUCUUUCCUCUUCUUAUCAGGAGGCUUGGCCAAGACGAUCUCAAUUUCAUCGCCGCCAAGCUCCUUACCGUUCAUCUCAUCCAUGGCCUAUUCAGAAUGAAGUGAGUUUACCUUAAACACUUUAGGAAAUCACCUUUUAAGGAUACUCAACUAACCUUAACAGCGGCAUCCCUGUCUUCGAAAUGAACAAAAGCGUAGUCUUUUAAUUUCUUCACUCGCUCCAGCUUCCCAAACUGAGAGAAGGUCUUUUCCAGGAGCUCUUCAGUCACUGCUGUGGCAAGCUUCCUUACAAAGAGCACUUUUACCUGCACCACAGACAGUUUUGUCAUCACAUCAGUCAGCAUAGGGCCUAAAUCCAUGCCAAUUUUUGUCUACGCCAAUUUGACUGUUUAUGCAUCAUUUAUUUUAGAAGUGUAUUUUGCAGUUUUUUGGGGGAAUAUGUGUUUGGACUAGGCUAGCUGCAGCCAUCGAUUAUUUUCGUAGUCGAUUAAUCGAUGAAUUAGUUCGAAUAAUCGGAUAAGGAACAUGAAAAAUUUAAAUUCCUAAGCUGAGCCUCAAACGGCAUUAAAACCAUAAGGAUCUUUGUACAAUAGAACAAUUGGCUAACUUACAUGGCAAAAGUCCGCCAGUUUAAAUGCUAUUAAAACACUAGCGUUUUUUUCCCCACAAAUGGUUCACAUGUAUUUCUACCCAAAAAAAAAAAACUUAGCUUAUGUUGGUCAUAACAUGGAGCAGCUGGAUUUAGCCAUGUGAAAUGACGCAGACCAAAGGGCAGUGUCCCCCCCAAAUCAGUAAAAAUAAAUGCAAACACUUUCAAAAUAAACCAUUAACGCCACUUUAAUUAAACAAAUACUCGAAGCAUCAAAAUUUAAUUAGAAUCUUUUUCUAAUCGAAUACUCGAGUUAAUCGAUUAAUCGUUGCAGCGCUAGUUUGGACGAUUAAGAGCAUGAUAUUAAAAUGAAAUAGCGUUUUAUAGCCUUUAAGCUAGUGGAUUUUUGCUGCGCAAGUUUCAGUUUUCUUUUGUUGUACUUCGAUUUUUUUUUUAUACCUUGCUUGAUUUGUUUUGAAAGUGUAUUCAUUUGGGUGAACACACAGCCCAGUAGUGGAUAAAGGGGAUAUUACAUAACUCAUCUAACGUGGCGGCAUCCAGAUGCUCCCUGUUAAGACCAACAUAAGAUUGUAAGUUUGAGCUCAUGUGAUUGUCGAUGCAUUCGUACUUUAGAGGUAUAUUGUGAUUGAACACUAUGUUAAGAGAAUUGAAAAAAGAAAUGUUAGCAUUUUAUAGUAGCGAUGCACGAUAAUGCAUUUUUCAACCGAUACCGAUAACCAAUAAUCACCUCCUCCUUCCAGCCGAUAACCGAUAAUGUCAAGCUGAUAACUCUAUUGAAAAGAUAUACGUAUAUACAAAUUUAAAUUAUAAAAAAGAGGAAAUGUUACUGGGCAAAAAUACAAUUUAUCGCUACUUUUUCCACAUCAAAUGUGAGCAAGUAGUAAAUUCCAACGUCAAAUCAUUGUAUAUUAAUUAAUAUUCAUAAUGCUUACAAAUUAAUUACUUAAUUGCACAAAAAAUACUAUUAGGAGGGGUUGGGUUGCCGGCCCAGAAUUACACAAAACUGUGUCGGUUGCACACAUUUGAAGGCUAAAUAAAGUAUAGAAUUAUCGGAUUGCAUUAUCGAUUGAAUUUUUUAAAAUCUCUAUUAUCGGUGUGAUGUCAUAAUUGCCAUUAUCGGCCGAUAAUUAUUGGUAACCGAUAUUAUCGUGCAUCUUUAUUUUAUAGCAUUUAAGCUAGCGGAGUUUUGCUAUGCAAGUAAGUUAAUUGCUGUUUCGUUGUGGAUCCCGAUUUAUUUUGUCAAUCCAUUUGUGGUAAAGAUCAGGUAUUUUAAUGUAUUUUUAAAUGCAGAUAAAAUAAAUGAAAAUGAAAUUUUAUAUUCGCAUUUAAUGCUCUUUCGUACGAAGCCCCUUAAGGGACAUCGACAGAAAUAAAAUAAAUAUAAGCAAUCUAGUGCACACCAGAUUGAUUCUAGUGUGCAGCAGUAACAAUGUGGUAAACAUUAGCAUUAUACACUCACCGGCCACUUUAUUAGGUACACCUGUCCAACUACUCGUUAACACCUAAUUUCUAAUCAGCCAAUCACAUGGCGGCAACUCAGUGUAUUUAGGCAUGUAGACAUGGUUUAAGACAAUCUCCUGCAGUUCAAACCGAGCAUCAGUAUGGGGAAGAAAGGUGAUUUGAGUGACUUUGAACGUGGCACGGUUGUUGGUGCCAGAAAGGCUUGUCUGAGUAUUUCAGAAACUGCUGAUCUACUGGGAUUUUCACGCACAACCAUCUCUAGGGUUCACAGAGAAUGGUACGAAAAAGAAAAAUAUUAAAGGGCGACUGAAGAGCUUUUCGGAUUUCCGAUUGUUAUACCCCUUUCCCACUGGCCAAAAAACCCGUGUCAACCCCUUAACAAUCGGCUUUUGGUGGCAGUGGGAAAGGUGCAGCGACCCGCCUCGACCCGUGUCAAUCAACCCGCCAAGCGGCCCACGUUAAAAUCACCUCGGCUAUGACCGUCAUGCAGUGUGAAAGCAAAACCCCGGGUCAACAGUCAACACCCUCAUAUACGUGGUGACGUAGGCUCUUACGUGAUGCGUCAUAAAAACAUGCCAGUCGCCUACCAUUUAACACGCCCCACACCCGUAGUUACGUCAACGCUAACAACAAAGCUGGUAGAAGAAGAAUUCACGUCGCCUACGUUGCCUCAGCACAAGCAGAGUGUUGAUCUUUUGCCGCAUUUCGACCAUUUUGAGGGCAGUAAAAAGCAUGAAAACAGAACACAAACAGAAAGGAGGCUUCCAUAAUGCUCUGCAUUUACUUCCUUGAACUGAAUGAAUUCGGUCGCACUUGUCGACGUUGAUCUUAGCGUGGUGACGUCGCGUAACCUUACGCACGGCUGAGGAGGGGUGGGGGUUAGACGGGUGAAAAAAAAAAAAAAGACAGCUUUUUUUGUCAAAGGAAAGGUGCCAAAUGCCAAUUGCUAGUGGUUUGCAUCGGCUUGGAAAAACGCGCGUUGACCCACUAGUUUCAGUGGAAAAGGGGCAUUAGUGGGUUGACGGGUUUUUGGCCAGUGGGAAAGGGGUAUAUGAGUGGUCCUGUUGAGAGAAAUGUUAUGUAUUUAUGGAUGUGUGCUCAGUUGAUGUUGAAAUAAUAAUAAUAACAAGCAAUAGGAACAUUAUCUUUUCGCCACAAGAUGGCAGGAUGGGACAUAAUAGUCUAAAGUGCUACUUUUAUUACUUCUUUGUGUUUGACUUUGAUGACUUUGAUUUGUGGGAUUGCCUAUGAAGACAGCAAUGAGAGAGGAUGUAUCCACAUGUCAAUGGAAAUUAAACACGCCAAGUUUUGGCUAAAAGACUCCGUCAAUUCUUCCUACGAAUGCAACGAUGAGCUGCAACCACCUCAACAGGUUAUGGGCCCAGGAGUCCUUCGAAGGUAAAGUCAGUUUCCACCGUGUAGAAGGUCGCGAAGGACAGCGUGCUCACGGACUGCUGAUAAGCGGAAAAAGCUAACAAGCAACAUGGAUCCACGAGGAACAAGAAGCCAAACAAAAAAUUAAGCGGCGGAAACCCUCAACGCAAUGAAAAUAGCGUUGCAAGUCAGUCGCCAUCCAGUUUCCCAAAAUCAACAGAGAGUGGGUCGAGUCAUAUGAUGUGUCCAGCGAUGCCGACUGAAGAGAUGCUAACUGAAGAGCUGCUAUGAGGCCUGCCAGAUGCUGCUUUUCUUCAAUCUGCGACAUCAGAUGAAGAUGACUUAGGAGAAAUAAAUGCAGCAAAUUUUGAUGACAUGAAAUCAUAGUCAUAUAUACUGUACACACUUAAUAGUACAGAAAAGAGUAAAUACAUAUUUCCCACUGCCAUUAUCAUUUUUCAAUGUUGCGCUAGUCCGUUGCUAUCCUAAAUUUGUGUUGCUUACUAAACUUAUGUUCUUUGAUGUGUGCCAUUGUGUGUUUGGUAUAACUUAGCUUUCUAUGUUGUGUUACAAUCUGACAGUGAAAGCUGAUGCUGAUUCAACAUAAAUCUGGUAUAAUUUAUUAUUGUGGCCUAUUGAAUAGUGUUUCAGAAUGUAAUAUAAUUACUAGGGUUGUUCCGAUCAUGUUUUUUUGCUCCCGUCCCGAUCAGAUCCCGAUCGUUUUAGUUUGAGUAUCUGCCGAUCCCGAUAUUUCCCGAUCCGAUUGCUUUUUUAUGCUCCCGAUUCAAUUCCAAUCAUUCCCGAUAAUUUUUCAUAGAUAUUUUGGCAAUGCAUUAAGAAAAAAAAUGAAUAAAACUCGGACGAAUAUAUACAUUCAACAUACAGUACAUAACGACUGUAUUUGUUUAUUAUGACAAUAAAUCCUCAAGAUGGCGUUUACAUUAUUAACAUUCUUUCUGUGAGAGGGAUCCACGGAUAGAAAGACUUGUGACUUUGUAUAUUGUGACUAAAUAUUGCCAUCUAGUGUAUUUGUUGAGCUUUCAGCAAAUGAUACUGCAGCCAUUCAACCCAAAUGCAUGAUGAGAAGUGGAACCAUGACUGUGCGUAGUGCUACCAAUUGAUAUAUCUUCUCUGCGUUGGGAAAUAACAUAAGGUGUUAAGAAAAAGUUCAAUUGCUACCUUGCUUCCCCACAUUGCUUCCCAUGAUAUUUCUAAUCGUAGGGAGAGAUCUUGUAAGGCUUUAGCCUAUUAAAAAAAGGCUCCAAAGGCUGCCAAAAUUCACUAUUCAUUUUACGCUGCCUUUUGUCUCUUUAUAUAGGUAAAACGGCGCCAUUACAGAUUGAGCGCGACAAUUUUAACUGGAACGCCACAGCCUACCUGAGUAUUGUUGCUGACCAUGUCCAUCCCUUUAUGACCACAAUGUACCCAACUUCUGAUGGCUACUUUCGGCAGGAUAAUGCGCCAUGUCAUAAAGCUGGAAUCAUCUCAGACUGGUUUCUCGAGUUCACUGUACUCAAAUGGCCUCCACAGUCACCAGAUCUCAAUCCAAUAGAGAAUCUUUGGGACGUAGUGGAACUGGAGAUUGGCAUCAUGGAUAUGCAGCCGACAAAUCUGCACCAACUGUGUGAUGCCAUCAUGUCAAUAUGAACCAAACUCUCUGAGGAAUGCUUCCAGCCCCUUGUUGAAUCUAUGCCAUGAAGAAUUGAGGCAGUUCUGAAGGCAAAAGGGGUCCAACCUGUUACUAGCAUGGUGUAACUAAUAAAGUGGCCGGCCGUUUCAAGAAGAAAAAUAAGAAAUGCCAAACCUUUGCCAUGACUUCUGGGUCUGGCUCAGCAACAGGGUCAGCCCACUCGACAGUAACUGGAUUCCCCCAAACUUUGACCUUGCCGCUCAUGAGGCGGCGACGAGCCUGCGCGGCCGAUUUGUGGUCUUCGUACUCCAGAAAACAGAAUCCCCUGUUUUUCUUCUUAUCAUCUGGCUGGUGGUAGAUGAUUACUUCUUGGAGACCCUCUGGAAUAUUAAAAAAUAUAUAUUUCCAUGUCAUAGUAAAUGCCACAAUUCAUCCCCACUGUUCCUUGUACGUCAACUGACCUGUUACUUUGCCAAAAUCCUCCAAUAUACUUUCUCGAGUUUUGUUCUUUGGGAUAGAGCCAACAAACAGACGAUUGUUGGCAACGGAUAUGCACACUCCCAAGUACUUGCCGUGACGGAUUUCAUAGUUAUCACACUGGAACAAGAACAAAGAACAAAGAAAAUGUCAGCAACUGGGUAAACAAAAAAACAUUCGAAAAUAAUUAAAUCCAGUAGUCCCUUGGUUACGAACGAGUUCUGUUUCUACGCUGGCAUCGUAACGCGAAUCUGAAUUAACAUUUUAAGUAUCUCUAAAUACCCCAUAAAUCUCAAAAUAACUAUCCAAAAGCAAUAUACGUCAUUGUACUGUCCCCGCUAAGAUGUUGGAGCUAAAUCCUAGCUAGACGGCGAGCUAAACGGUAAUCUUUCCCCUCUCUCUCGAUCGGCUGCGCGACUUGCAAAUGCGCGUUUCCUCGUUUGUGCUUUCUUCUUCGUGUGUACAUGCGCUUUUGCUUGUGUCCGAAAGUACUACCUGCUCUACACUAGGGGUGUGACAAAAUAUCGAAAUGGUGAUAUA